ACUACAGAACCUCAUGGAACCAUGGGUCAGUUGUGACACUCUGGUGCCUCAUGGAAUCAAGGAGACCAUUGUGAAACCUGGGGUGCCCAAGGAGGCAAGGGUCCAUGGUAACCUUGUGGAGCCCGCAGUGUCACAGAAGAGGCAUUGUGAAACAGCAAGGGCACAGGGAGCCCAGGGGCCAUGGUGACACAUCAGGGCUUUGUGGAAUCAUGAAGCAUGGUGACAUUGCAAGGCCUCAUGGGAGCACAGGGCCAUUGUGACACUGCAGAAGCAGGGGGAACAUUGUGACACUCCAGGGCCUCAUGGAACUAAGGAGACCAUUGGGACACUGUGGGGUCCCAAGAAACCAAUGGACCAUGGAACAAGUCUGGCUGGCUGGGCCUCAUGGGGACCACCUGACAGGUCCAGCUGACCUUGGCAUGUUGAGGGCUGCUUCUCAUCUGUCCCUGAAGCACUGGGGCUCAGGGCUUUCCUUCAUAGUGGAGAGAGCUGUCCUUCUCCUCCAGGGGCGAUGGCCAAAAUUGGGAUUCUUCCUCCAAAUUUCCUUACAUGCAAAGAUUGUUCCCAGAUGAAAUCUGCCAGGACUAACAAAUCUGUCUGUCUUGGCCCCCCAAGGGCCAUCUCCCAUCUGCCUUUGAAACACUGGGACCAUGUGCUUCUCUUUCUUAUGGGAAAAAAAACAUCCAUCUCGACCAGGCACUCAUAGCCAAAAUUGGGAAUCUGCUUCCAGAAUUCUCUAUAACCAAGGAUAACUCCCAGACAAAAGCUGUCCCCACUGAAAAGUCUGGCAGGCCUUGGCUUCCUGAGGGCUGGCACUCAUCUUCCUCUGAAACCCUUGGGCUCUGUGCUUUCCUUCCUAAUGAAAAGAACUCGUCUGGUUGUCCAGGCACCCACAGCCAAAACUGAGAUUCCACCUCCAAAAUACCCUAUGUCCAAGAACAGCCCAUAGAGACAGGCUGUGUUGGCCUAAAAGUUUAAUAUUCCGAAACGCUUGGACUUGGCAUUUUUCUUUCCUGUAGGUAAAAACCAUCCAUCCUGACAAGGUGCCCAUGGCCAAAACUGGGAUUGCACCUCCAAAACUCCAUACAUCCAAGGAUUGCUCCCAAAUGAAAGCUGCCAGGACAGACAGGUCUGGCUGCCCUUGGCCUCUUGGGGGCUGCCUCUCACCUGUUUUUCAAACACUGGGGCUCUGUGCUUUUCUUCCAAUGGAAAAGAACUGUCCUUCUUCUCAAAGUGUCCAUAGUCAAAAUUGAGAUUCCUUCUCCCAAAUUCCACAUAUACAAGGAUUCCUCCAUAAUAAAAACUGCCAGGACAAAUAGGUCUGGCUGGCUUGGCCUCCCAGGAGCCACCUCUCUCCUUUUCUGUCUUUGAAACCCUUGGUCUCUGGGCUUUUCUUCCUAGGGAAAAGAACCACCCUUCUUGUCUAUAUAGAAAUGGCCAAAAUUGGGAUUCCACCUCCCAAAUUCCUUAUAUCCUAGGGUUGCUGUCAGACAAAAGCUACCAGGACAGAGGUCUGGCUGGCCUAGACCUCUGAUGGCCGCCUUUCAUCUGCCCCGCAAACACCGGUGUUCUGUGCUUUCCUUCCCAUGGAAAAGAACCGUCCUCUUCUGGGAGUCCAUGUCUGAAAUUGGGAUUCCACCUCUAAAAUUUUGUAUAUCCAAGGGUUGCUCUCAGGAAAAAUCUACCAGUACUGUCAAGUCUGGCUGGUCUUGGCCUCUGAUGACUGCCCUGCAACACUGGGGCUGGGUUCUUUCCUUCCCAUGGAGACCCCUGGGACACUGUGGGGACCUCAUGAAGCCAAGGGGAUCCUUGUGGCACCACUGGAGCCCAUGGAACCAAGGGGCCGUGGUGACACAUCAGGGCUUCAUGGAACCCAGAGACUAUUGUGACCAUGGAGACCAUUGUGACCCUUCAGGGCCUCGUGUCACCAAGGGGGCAUUGGGACACCUCAGGGCCUCAUGGAAGCAAGGGACCAUUGGGACACUGUGGGGCUCCAUGGAACCGAGGGAAUGUGGAACAGGUCUGGCUGGCUUGGUGUCCCAGGGACCACCUGACAGUGCUUCCAUCCUUGCUUGAGGGAGAAGAAAGGACAAAGUGCAGGCAAAUAGAGGAGCAACAUGAAGACACCGAGGUCAGUGAAGGGGAAGUUGAGUCCCAGACUGGGGGGAUGAGAAAGUGCCUUGAUCUUGGGGCUGAAAUCCUCAUGUAAAGCUAUGGAGAAAUGAUACAUCAGACUCUCUUUUUCCUUAAAACACAUUUAAAAUAUGGGGAGAUUACUUGUUCAGCAAAGGCCUCCAUGCUAAAAUUAGCAAAUAUUGAAGUAGCUAUGAUCCCAUGAGAAGUUUGAACAGAGAAAGAGAGAAGAGUGAUGAGACCCUGUGGCCUCAGGGAGAGAAGAAAAAGAUCUCUGUUCCCAGAGAUGAAGAUGAUUUCACAAAUAGAUUAAGAGAACCUUUGCUCUUUAACAGCUCAUCUAUAAACUAAUACCCCAUAAGUUGGCGUAUGACGCGGCUCAUAAACAGAACAGUGGGAAAAGCUCUGAAGAAAUGGGAGGGACUUCAUGAUUGCAGAUUUUUCCAGACAGCUGCUAUUGGUUGAAAUUCAAAGCCACACAACAACUGUUUUCUUAUGGAGAAGUCUCCAUUAGCCACAGGAACUUCUCUCCCAAAGUGAACUGAAGAAAGACAAUUUUAGAGGUGGUAAACUGACCGAAAAUUUUAGGUUUUGUCUCUUUAUAUUGAGAGUAAAAAAGAAAACACAGGAAGAGGAGAGGUGUUCAGAAAGUUUUGUUCUGAUUCUUAUAACUCUUUCUUUUAGUUACUAUUAAUAAACUUUCCUUUAUAUCCUUUUAAAGUUUUGAGCCUACUUUACCUUUCUCCUAUUUCUAUCUCAAAGCAGGAAAUGAGUAAGUAUAUUCUAGUGCAUGCACCGGUAUUUUACCAACACUGAACUCACCACACUAAUUGAUGAAUUGGCCAAGAAUUGUCAAAUUGGCAAACCAAAACCUCUACAGAAGCCUUCCUGAAGAACUUUCAUGAGAGCAGAGGGAAAUCAAGGCAGAACGAUGGUUUGUCAGGACCUGCUUGAUCCUAAUGAGCCCCGUGGUGCAUUUGGAGCUGAGCCCUGGAACAUCAGGGCUUGAAAGUAGAUUGCAAAAACCUUUCAAGGAGUCAAAGUUAGAGGAAAACCCCAAAGUGUCUCAAGGGCCUGGGGACACUUUCUCAGUCAUGUGCCUCAGUGGGACCCAUUAAAAGUCCAAGAAACUUUGGAGUUGGAUUCUGACUUGGAGUUCUGGAGAGGUUUCUUCAGCUGCCUCUCAGGGACUGAUGUUCAGGGCCCGAGCACAAAGCCCCAGAGGGUCAUUAAAGUCCUGCUGCUGUGUCUCUGCUGCUGAGCUGGGCUGGGCUCCUGGCACAGAGGCAGCUCCUGGUAAGCAAGAAGAGCUUCAAAAGCACAUUUCCCUUGAUGAGCAGCUCUUCUGCCAGCCCAGCAGGGCUGGGGCACUGCCUGCAGCCAGCCCGGCCACAGCCCAGAGGCACAGAGAGCUUCAAUCAGUCAGGUCUGGGAAGGUGCUGAGAAGUGCCUGGGGCAGAAUCGCUGCCAGUCCUUGGCACAGGAACCUCUGGCUGCAGGACAAUGCAGCUGCAGCUCCUGGAGUGAUUUCCUAAAGCUGGAACGUCCCAAUGCCUGC